AGUGAACGCUGGCGGUAGGCCUAACACAUGCAAGUCGAACGGCAGCACAGUAAGAGCUUGCUCUUACGGGUGGCGAGUGGCGGACGGGUGAGGAAUACAUCGGGAUCUACUUUUUCGUGGGGGAUAACGUAGGGAAACUUACGCUAAUACCGCAUACGACCUACGGGUGAAAGCAGGGGAUCUUCGGACCUUGCGCGAUUGAAUGAGCCGAUGUCGGAUUAGCUAGUUGGCGGGGUAAAGGCCCACCAAGGCGACGAUCCGUAGCUGGUCUGAGAGGAUGAUCAGCCACACUGGAACUGAGAAACGGUCCAGACUCCUACGGGAGGCAGCAGUGGGGAAUAUUGGACAAUGGGCGAAAGCCUGAUCCAGCCAUACCGCGUGGGUGAAGAAGGCCUUCGGGUUGUAAAGCCCUUUUGUUGGGAAAGAAAAGCAGCAGGUUAAUACCCCGCUGUUCUGACGGUACCCAAAGAAUAAGCACCGGCUAACUUCGUG
rnacentral:rRNA from 1 species